UAGUUGGUGUUGACGAAGAAAAGCAUGAACUCGUUAUUGGGAUUAUUGACUUCAUGAGGCAGUAUACAUGGGACAAGCACCUCGAGACAUGGGUUAAGGCCUCUGGCAUCCUUGGUGGACCUAAGAAUACACCUCCCACUGUAAUUUCACCUAAGCAAUACAAAAAGAGGUUCCGGAAGGCAAUGACCACUUAUUUCCUGAUGGUUCCGGAUCACUG
rnacentral:misc_RNA from 1 species